rnacentral:lncRNA from 1 species
UUACUGAGAAAAUUUGAUAUCCACAUACAGGAGAAUACAAUUGGACCCUUAUCUCACACCAUAUACAAAUAUUAACUCAAAAUGGAUUAAAUACUUAAAUAUAAGACCUGAAACUAUAAAACUACUUGAAGAAAAUACAGGAGAAAUGCUCUAUAACAUUGGUCUGAGUAAGUACUUCCUGGAUCUAACUCCAAUAGCACAGAUAACAAAAGCAAAAAUAGACAAAUUGGAUUACCUCAAACUAAAAAGCUUCUAAACAGCAAAGGAAAUAGAAAGGAAGAAAGCAUCAAUGGGCAAAGAGAAGUUGAACUGCAAGGCAGCCUCCAUGACCUUACUGUGAACUCUGAAACUAGAAUGACUCUUCAGAAUUUUUACAAAUUGGACAGGGGGGCCAGGCUUUUACAUUUUCUCAUCAAUUGGUCAUUGGAUGUAGUCCACCAGGAGCCUUUACCUUGGACAAACUAGCUCUCUUGAGCAGAGGUGUCUUUGCAAAGAGAUGACAGUUGUGGACUUUCUGCAGGCAGCACCCUCAGCAGCCAUGAGUAUUAGUUUUUAUUUCUAAACUGGAAUCUUAGUAGUAUAUCACAGCACCCACCACAGACCAGAUAUACUUGGAUCAAUGAAAUUUUUAAAAAUAACUAUUUACUCCUUUUUGCCUUAGCUCUUUCUUGAGAUUUUAAAGAUUUUUACAUUUCUUUAUCAUAACAAAUACCAUAUUAGAUUCAUCUUCUUUACUUGUCUGGUUUCUCUGAAUCCUUGAGCAGGCAAAACACAUUUUAUUAGUUGUUAUAUCCUUAAUAGCUACCAUGGUGCCUGGCUAAGCACAAGUGUUCAAUUAUUAUUUGAUGAAAGAAUAAACUCCAAUCUAUAGCGAUUUGAAUGUUCUUACCAAAUGAUUAAUGAUUGUAUACACCUGUCUGAAUGGAGACUGUCUGUCUAGCUAGAGGCUCUGAUUUAUGCCUAUUCAAAACUACAGUUUUAUUAGUAGUAGAGAGAAAGGUAUAGCAAGCAUAUGUUCCAUUUGUGAAUGGCACGAAACUAAGGACAGCAGCUUCACUGGAUGACAGUCAGGAUUCAGAAAGCAUGAAAAUAGGCUAAGAUAAUGGUCUGAAUAUAAUGAGAUGAAAUUUGAGGAACUGAUAUGAGAGACUGUCAGCAGAUUCAACAAAUCACCUAGAAAAGUUUUCAGCUGGCCAAGCAGAAGUUUGUGAGAAAUACUAGAGGUUUUUGAUGAUUGCAAGACCAACAAAAGUCUAUUAUGUAGCUCUGUGUCAUCUUAGCCAUUAUCAGUAGAUACACACACACACACACACACACACACACACACGCAUCAUGUCAUCUUAGCCAUUAUCAACAUAUAUAUAUAUAUAUAUAUAUAAUUUAAAGCCUUGAAGCAAUGGCCCUCUUCUAGGUCAGAUUGCCAUAACAUCCAAGAUUUCAAUUCCAAGCACUGCCUUGGAAUAUAAGGACCAGACAAUUUAGAAUGUAUUUGGAGGAAAAAAUAGGGUGGUGGAAGGACUUUUAAAUUUGCAAGAUAACUAAUGACUAAGGGGAGGUUGGGGGAGGUUUUGCCAAACCUUUUAGGCACAAAAAUCAGCUUGAUAGAAAAUCUAACAAAUAGGAAUAGAAUGAGUUAAUUAACAUCCCUAAUGAACAUAGAUGAAGAAAUUCUUAAAAGAUAUUUACAAACUGAAUCCAGCAACACGUUAAAAAAACACCAUUUCAUGUCAUUGCCUUCUUAUAAUGUAAUGUGUAAUGACUGAUAGUAGAAAGGCUAUCAAUCAUAUCACAAUGUCAGAUAAAAUAUAUAAUAAUUCAAUAAGAAGUUUAAA